rnacentral:rRNA from 1 species
GACGAACGCUGGCGGCGUGCUUAACACAUGCAAGUCGAACGGAAAGGCCCUUCGGGGUCCUCGAGUGGCGAACGGGUGAGUAACACGUUGGUGAUCUGCCCUGCACUUUGGGAUAAGCCUUGGAAACUGGGUCUAAUACCGAAUAGGACCACGCGCUUCAUGGUGUGUGGUGGCAAGCUUUUGCGGUGUGGGUUGGGCCCGCGGCCUAUCAGCUUGUUGGUGGGGUAAUGGCCUACCAAGGCGACGACGGGUAGCCGGCCUGAGAGGGUGACCGGCCACACUGGGACUGAGAUACGGCCCAGACUCCUACGGGAGGCAGCGGUGGGGAAUAUUGCACAAUGGGCGCAAGCCUGAUGCAGCGACGCCGCGUGAGGGAUGACGGCCUUCGGGUUGUAAACCUCUUUCAAUAGGGACGAAGCGCAAGUGACGGUACCUAUAGAAGAAGCACCGGCCAACUACGUG